UAAACGACUCUCGGCAACGGAUAUCUCGGCUCUCGCAUCGAUGAAGAACGUAGCGAAAUGCGAUACUUGGUGUGAAUUGCAGAAUCCCGUGAACCAUCGAGUCUUUGAACGCAAGUUGCGCCCGAAGCCUUGGCUGAGGGCACGCCUGCCUGGGUGUCACACAC
rnacentral:rRNA from 1 species